rnacentral:rRNA from 1 species
CACCCGUUCCCAUACCGAACACGGAAGUUAAGCUUCUCAGCGCCGAUGGUAGUUGGGGCAUUGCCCCUGUGAGAGUAGGACGUUGCCAGGC